AACGAACGCUGGCGGCAGGCCUAAAACAUGCAAGUCGAACGGGUGUAGCAAUACAUCAGUGGCGCACGGGUGAGUAACGCGUGGGAACAUGCCCCUUAGUACGGGACAACGUCGGGAAACUGACGCUAAUACCGUAUAAUAUCUCCGGAUCAAAGAUUUAUCGCUGAGGGAGUGGCCCGCGUCUGAUUAGCUAGUUGGUGAGGUAAUGGCUCACCAAGGCUACGAUCAGUAGCAGGUCUGAGAGGAUGAUCUGCCACACUGGGACUGAGACACGGCCCAGACUCCUACGGGAGGCAGCAGUUAGGAAUAUUGGACAAUGGGCGAAAGCCUGAUCCAGCCAUGCCGCGUGUGUGAUGAAGGCCCUAGGGUUGUAAAGCACUUUCGUUGGGGAUGAUAAUGACCGUACCCAAAGAAGAAGCACCGGCUAACUUCGUG
rnacentral:rRNA from 1 species